AUGCAGAGGGCUAGUAUGUGUGUUCCUGUAUGAAACUGCAGCUGAGAAAGGGGAAGAGUUCAUGUGGGGUGCAUUGAGUUCAUGUGUGAGAAGAGGUAAUGGAGAUUUGAUGUGAAACAUAUGUACUGG